rnacentral:tRNA from 1 species
GGUAAAGUGACUGAUUUUAGGUGAUAAAUUGUAAAUUUAUUUAUGGUUAAUUCCCUUUACUA